AUUGAACGCUGGCGGCAUGCCUUACACAUGCAAGUCGAACGGCAGCACGGGUGCUUGCACCUGGUGGCGAGUGGCGAACGGGUGAGUAAUACAUCGGAACGUACCUUAUCGUGGGGGAUAACGCAGCGAAAGCUGUGCUAAUACCGCAUACGAUCUAUGGAUGAAAGCGGGGGAUCGCAAGACCUCGCGCGAUUGGAGCGGCCGAUAUCAGAUUAGCUAGUUGGUGGGGUAAAGGCCCACCAAGGCGACGAUCUGUAGCUGGUCUGAGAGGACGACCAGCCACACUGGAACUGAGACACGGUCCAGACUCCUACGGGAGGCAGCAGUGGGGAAUUUUGGACAAUGGGCGCAAGCCUGAUCCAGCAAUGCCGCGUGCAGGAUGAAGGCCUUCGGGUUGUAAACUGCUUUUGUACGGAGCGAAACGGCUCUCACUAAUACUGGGGCUAAUGACGGUACCGUAAGAAUAAGCACCGGCUAACUACGUG
rnacentral:rRNA from 1 species